rnacentral:rRNA from 1 species
UUGAACGCUGGCGGCAGGCCUAACACAUGCAAGUCGAGCGGAUGAAGGGAGCUUGCUCCUGGAUUCAGCGGCGGACGGGUGAGUAAUGCCUAGGAAUCUGCCUGGUAGUGGGGGAUAACGUCCGGAAACGGGCGCUAAUACCGCAUACGUCCUGAGGGAGAAAGUGGGGGAUCUUCGGACCUCACGCUAUCAGAUGAGCCUAGGUCGGAUUAGCUAGUUGGUGGGGUAAAGGCCUACCAAGGCGACGAUCCGUAACUGGUCUGAGAGGAUGAUCAGUCACACUGGAGCUGAGACACGGUCCAGACUCCUACGGGAGGCAGCAGUGGGGAAUAUUGGACAAUGGGCGAAAGCCUGAUCCAGCCAUGCCGCGUGUGUGAAGAAGGUCUUCGGAUUGUAAAGCACUUUAAGUUGGGAGGAAGGGCAGUAAGUUAAUACCUUGCUGUUUUGACGUUACCAACAGAAUAAGCACCGGCUAACUUCGUG